GGGUCGGUUCCAGAGCGGUCAAAUGGGGAGGACUGUAAAUCCUUUGUCUACGACUUCGCAGGUUCGAAUCCUGCCCGGCCCACCA
rnacentral:tRNA from 1 species